AUUGUUUUGAUCCCACAAGAACAAGGAGUUUGGUUGAUGAAAUCAUGUUUCUGGUUUCCUACUAUGGUUAUCAUGGGUAUUUGAAAGCAAGAUGGAGCCUCACCUGGACACAGCCCUUUUCCCAUGUUCACCUUUCCUAUACUUAUUUAGGGUUUUGGCAUUAUGGGUCAGCUAGGUCUCAGGUAUAGAGUUACCAUACAUUAUGAGUCAGCUAGGACUCAGGUAUAGAGUUACCAUACAUUAUGGGUCAGCUAGGUCUCAGGUAUAGAGUAACCAUACAUUAUGAGUCAGCUUGGUCUCAGGUAUAGAGUAACCAUACAUUAUGAGUCAGCUUGGUCUCAGGUAUAGAGUAAACAUACAUUAUGGGUCAGCUAGGUCUCAGGUAUAGAGUAACCAUACAUUAUGGGUCAGCUAGGACUCAGGUAUGGAGUUACCAUACAUUAUGGGUCAGCUAGGACUCAGGUAUGGAGUUACCAUACAUUAUGGGUCAGCUAGGACUCAGGUAUAGAGUAACCAUACAUUAUGAGUCAGCUUGGUCUCAGGUAUAGAGUAACCAUACAUUAUGAGUCAGCUUGGUCUCAGGUAUAGAGUAAACAUACAUUAUGGGUCAGCUAGGUCUCAGGUAUAGAGUAACCAUACAUUAUGGGUCAGCUAGGACUCAGGUAUGGAGUUACCAUACAUUAUGGGUCAGCUAGGACUCAGGUAUGGAGUUACCAUACAUUAUGGGUCAGCUAGGACUCAGGUAUGGAGUUACCAUACAUUAUGGGUCAGCUAGGACUCAGGUAUGGAGUAACCAUACAUUAUGGGUCAGCUAGGACUCAGGUAUGGAGUUACCAUACAUUAUGGGUCAGCUAGGACUCAGGUAUGGAGUUACCAUACAUUAUGGGUCAGCUAGGACUCAGGUAUGGAGUUACCAUACAUUAUGGGUCAGCUAGGACUCAGGUAUGGAGGUAACAUACAUUAUGGGUCAGCUAUGACUCAGGUAUGGAGGUAACAUACAUUAUGGGUCAGC